GGAGGGGUGCUCCGAAUGGUAAGGAACGCGCUUGGAGAGCGCGCGCCCGCAAGGGCUUGCAGGUUCGACUCCUGUCCCCUCCGCCA
rnacentral:tRNA from 1 species